rnacentral:rRNA from 1 species
AGUGAACGCCGGCGGUAGGCCUAACACAUGCAAGUCGAACGGCAGCACAGUAAGAGCUUGCUCUUACGGGUGGCGAGUGGCGGACGGGUGAGGAAUACAUCGGAAUCUACUUUUUCGUGGGGGAUAACGUAGGGAAACUUACGCUAAUACCGCAUACGACCUACGGGUGAAAGCAGGGGAUCUUCGGACCUUGCGCGAUUGAAUGAGCCGAUGUCGGAUUAGCUAGUUGGCGGGGUAAAGGCCCACCAAGGCGACGAUCCGCAGCUGGUCUGAGAGGAUGAUCAGCCACACUGGAACUGAGACACGGUCCAGACUCCUACGGGAGGCAGCAGUGGGGAAUAUUGGACAAUGGGCGCAAGCCUGAUCCAGCCAUACCGCGUGGGUGAAGAAGGCCUUCGGGUUGUAAAGCCCUUUUGUUGGGAAAGAAAAGCAGCAGGUUAAUACCCCGCUGUUCUGACGGUACCCAAAGAAUAAGCACCGGCUAACUUCGUG